rnacentral:rRNA from 1 species
GUGUCAGCAGCCGCGGUAAUACGAAGGGGGCUAGCGUUGUUCGGAAUUACUGGGCGUAAAGCGCGCGCAGGCGGCUAUCCAAGUCAGUGGUGAAAGCCCGGAGCUCAACUCCGGAACUGCCAUUGAAACUGUUUAGCUUGAGGACGAGAGAGGUGAGUGGAAUUCCCAGUGUAGAGGUGAAAUUCGUAGAUAUUGGGAAGAACACCGGUGGCGAAGGCGGCUCACUGGCUCGUAUCUGACGCUCAGGCGCGACAGCGUGGGGAUCAAACAGGAUUAGAAACCCGCGUAGUCC